GAAAUGCGAUAAGUAAUGUGAAUUGCAGAAUUCAGUGAAUCAUCAAAUCUUUGAACGCACAUUGCGCCCCCUGGUAUUCCGGGGGGCAUGCCUGUUCGAGCGUCAUUUCACCACUCAAGCCUCGCUUGGUAUUGGGCGACGCGGUCCGCCGCGCGCCUCAAAUCGACCGGCUGGGUCUUUCGUCCCCUCAGCGUUGUGGAAACUAUUCGCUAAAGGGUGCCGCGGGAGGCCACGCCGUAAAACAACCCCAUUUCUAAGGUUGACCUCGGAUCAGGUAGGGAUACCCGCUGAACUUAAGC
rnacentral:misc_RNA from 1 species